rnacentral:rRNA from 1 species
GUGGGGAAUUUUGGACAAUGGGCGCAAGCCUGAUCCAGCCAUGCCGCGUGCAGGAUGAAGGCCUUCGGGUUGUAAACUGCUUUUGUACGGAACGAAACGGCUCUUUCUAAUAAAGAGGGCUAAUGACGGUACCGUAAGAAUAAGCACCGGCUAACUACGUGCCAGCAGCCGCGGUAAUACGUAGGGUGCGAGCGUUAAUCGGAAUUACUGGGCGUAAAGCGUGCGCAGGCGGUGAUGUAAGACAGAUGUGAAAUCCCCGGGCUCAACCUGGGAACUGCAUUUGUGACUGCAUCGCUGGAGUGCGGCAGAGGGGGAUGGAAUUCCGCGUGUAGCAGUGAAAUGCGUAGAUAUGCGGAGGAACACCGAUGGCGAAGGCAAUCCCCUGGGCCUGCACUGACGCUCAUGCACGAAAGCGUGGGGAGCAAACAGGAUUAGAAACCCCAGUAGUCC